rnacentral:rRNA from 1 species
CAGCAGCCACGGUAAUACGUAGGUGGCAAGCGUUGUCCGGAAUUAUUGGGCGUAAAGGGAGCGCAGGCGGACAUAUAAGUCCAUCUUAAAAGUGCGGGGCUCAACCCCGUGAGGGGAUGGAAACUGUAUGCCUUGAGUGUAGGAGAGGAAAGCGGAAUUCCCAGUGUAGCGGUGAAAUGCGUAGAUAUUGGGAGGAACACCAGUGGCAAAGGCGGCUUUCUGGACUGCAACUGACGCUGAGGCUCGAAAGCCAGGGGAGCGAACGGGAUUAGAUACCCCCGUAGUCCCUGUCUCUUAUACA